rnacentral:rRNA from 1 species
GUGCCAGCAGCCGCGGUAAUACCGGCAGCCCGAGUGAUGGCCGAUAUUAUUGGGCCUAAAGCGUCCGUAGCUGGCCGAACAAGUCCGUCGGGAAAUCCACGUGCUUAACAGGUGGGCGUCCGGCGGAAACUGUGUGGCUUGGAACCGGAAGGCUCAGAGGGUACGUCCGGGGUAGGAGUGAAAUCCCGUAAUCCCGGACGGACCACCGAUGGCGAAAGCACUCUGAGAAGACGGCUUCGACAGUGAGGGACGAAAGCUCGGGUCUCAAACCGGAUUAGAUACCCGAGUAGUCC